rnacentral:rRNA from 1 species
AAGCUCGUAGUUGAAUUUCGAAUGUGGCUGGGCGGUCCGCCUCACGGUGUGUACUGUCUGGCUGUGUUCUCUUUCUUGGUGAGCCGGCAUGCCCUUUACUGGGUGUGUUGGGGAACCAGGACGUUUACCUUGAGAAAAUUAGAGUAUUCAAAGCAGGCCUACGCCCGAAUACAUUAGCAUGGCAUAAUAAAAUAGGACGUGCGGUUCUAUUUUGUUGGUUUCUAGAGCCGCAGUAAUGAUUAAUAGGGAUAGUUGGG